AGCGAACGCUGGCGGCAGGCCUAACACAUGCAAGUCGAACGAAGUCUUCGGACUUAGUGGCGGACGGGUGAGUAACACGUGGGAACGUGCCUUUAGGUUCGGAAUAACUCAGGGAAACUUGUGCUAAUACCGAAUGUGCCCUUCGGGGGAAAGAUUUAUCGCCUUUAGAGCGGCCCGCGUCUGAUUAGCUAGUUGGUGAGGUAAAGGCUCACCAAGGCUACGAUCAGUAGCUGGUCUGAGAGGAUGACCAGCCACAUUGGGACUGAGACACGGCCCAAACUCCUACGGGAGGCAGCAGUGGGGAAUCUUGCGCAAUGGGCGAAAGCUUGACGCAGCCAUGCCGCGUGGAUGAUGAAGGUCUUAGGAUUGUAAAAUCCUUUCACCGGUGAAGAUAAUGACUGUAGCCGGAGAAGAAGCCCCGGCUAACUUCGCGCCAGCCGCCGCAGUAA
rnacentral:rRNA from 1 species